rnacentral:lncRNA from 1 species
CCGCAUAAAAUUCAAGGAAUUGGUGCUGGUUUCAUCUCAGCCGUCCUCGAUCAAAGCAUCCUGGAUGGAGUUCUUCAAGUAAGGCUGUAUACCAUAUAAGUAGCUCUGAGAUUCUACAAACAUUUAAAUUUCUGCUCAAUGUGAGUGAGAUUUUGCUAUAAAAACCUGAAUAUCUUACAAAUGACUCUAACCAGGUGAUGAAUCUGCUAUACUCUGACUGACAAUUUCAAUUCGGUUAAUAUAAAACUAACGCAUUCACGACUCACAGAAGCAGAGAUAUGAAGUAUGCGAACAUAGACUAGAUUGCUUUGUAGGGUAAAGUUAGAUAUAUCCUUUUGUUGACAGAAUUGUCUGAAUCUCCAGAAUAAUCGUGGCUUUUCAAUGUAAAAGUUUCCAGCUUACUCUAUCUCUGAAACAUAUCCAUCUGAUUUAGUUUAUUAACAGAUCAAAGUAAAUUCAUUAUAGGUUUUCUUAUUUUCCAUGUUUGGUUGGUCAAAAUUUUUGGUAAACAUUUUGUUUAGGAAAACAAGUUGCUUAAAAAUAAGGAGAACGACUUUCCUAAUGGAAUUAGGGAAAACAAGUUUCACAAGUGGUAUUCUAUAUUGAGUGUGUCCUGUCCUCCCCACGCUCCAACACACCUCAUCUUCACCCCAACCUCCAUAGCCCCCAGCCUCACCACCCCACACUAUUACCUGUCUCACUGCCCAUAGUAUUUGACUUAGAUUAUAUACAAAUGGUUUUAGGAUAGUAUACAUACCGAGCACAAGAAAAUUAGUAAGAAACCACUUAUUUUCCUUCCUUUAUACCGAACACACCCUUAGUGUCCUCUUGUAUGUUUCUAAAGCUGUUGAUUUUUUGGUUCACUGGCUAUAUUUCCUGGUAUGAUGGCAGCUUCUGCUUUUAUUUAUGUUCAGGUAUCUAGUGAUGAAGCUAUUGAAAUGACAAAGCUUCUUGCAUUGAAAGAAGGCCUGCUGGUAAGUUCACCCGUCAAUAAAGAUCACUUCUGCAUGUGUCCUCUGCUUCAUUUGUGAUGUCCGUUCUGAUAUCAUUACGAUUAUAUGCCCUUUUUCUCCUGGAAUAUUUUCAGGUAGGAAUAUCAUCAGGUGCUGCAGCUGCUGCAGCAAUUCAAGUAGCAAAAAAGCCAGAAAAUGCUGGGAAACUUAUUGCGGUAAGUUAGAUCUACUUCAUUAAGCUUAUUGAUAUCUAUUUCAUCUCUUAACUUGGGAAUCCUUGAUGAGUUCAUGGUUCCAAUUUUGCAAAUGAACUUUGGCCUAAACUUCUCUUUCAAUUCUCUGUGCAGGUCAUCUUCCCUAGUUUUGGGGAGCGUUAUCUUUCCACUGUGCUGUUUGAUUCUAUUAGAGAAGAGGUGGUGAACAUGACUUUUGAGUAACUUAAUGCUUCUUUAAACUGAGGGAUACAUGUUUACUCCUAUUUGUUGUAACUUGAGAUGGGAAAGAUCACUCAAGUGUAACCCCCUAAUAAAUCAGUGAACUAUUAUUAAUUCGCAAUACAAAUAUUUGUAUCUUUUGAAUGGUGUAACCGCUGUUUCUAUAUAUUUAGCCCUUCGUUCAGCCAACAAACAAGUAGGAUUUUUCAAUGGCAUAGUUAAUUGAGAAAGGCUUAAUUCCAUCAUGUAGCGUCGUCAAACAAACGUAUUAUUCUUUCUAUCGUUUGCAUAUAUAAUUGGGCUCUUAAGCAGUUUAAGGUAUGUAAUGUCAACGAUUUUGAAAUUGUUCUAAAAAAAACUCACUUUUUUGUCAACUGGACUAUAGCCUAACCAUAAUCCUUAUAUUUCAGAAUGGUCCACAUAUAAUUAUUACAAUGUCUAUAUAUUUAUAGUGUUUGGUCUAAAACUAAGGAAGUACUUGACUUUAGAACUAAAGAUCAAAUAGUGCUUCUUUAAAAACUCUUUAAAAAUGAAAUUAGUUGAUUAAAAAGAAUACUUAAAAUACAUUACGUUUUAAAAAAAAAAAAAUACAUUACGUAUUAAUUUUUACGAAAUUAAAAUAAAUAAAUAUAUAUAGGUUCGGAUUCAACAUGUGUACAUAGAAGGUAAUACUUUGGCUGAUUAUUUAGCUAAUUUGGCUUUUGAUAAUCUAGGUAGACUUGUUUAUAAUUCUUUUAUAGAAUUACCAAGACAGGCUAGGAAAAUCGUAAACCUAGACAAGCAACAUUUUCCUACGUUAAGAAUCAGAACAAAGAAAAUAGAUCAAAAGAGGGAUGGGGGACAAGAAAAUGCAGUGACAUUGAUCACAUGAGAACUACCAGAAUUAUAAGCAACAUAUCAAACAUCGAGAAUAGUACAAUCCAAGAUACUCAAAUGAGUCACACGUGUCGAUUUUCAAAGAAGUUGAUCUCAACUAACAAUUUCAUCAACAAUAUUAUAGAACUUUACAGAUCUAGUGGCAGAGCUUUACAAUGCAAAAAAGGGAUACAAUUUUUAUUAGUACAAGAAGAGAUGAUCAUAAGUCGAUUUAGAACUUACAAAGGAAGGUUCUGCAGCAAAACGUUACGGAAAAAUAUUUUUGAAUGGCUGAGUUCAUGGCAACAACCUUUGCACUUCAAGGAAGACGGACAGUUAGAGGAGGAAGAUAGGAAGAGCAAUCAAGGUUUAGAGGGAAUAAAAACUCACCAUUCUUUGGUCUGGUCUCGGAUGGAAUUUGAUGGAGACUUCCCAAAUUUGCAGAAAAAGAGGGCUAUUUAGAGCUUUCCUAGUAGACUUGCCC